rnacentral:rRNA from 1 species
UACGAAGGGGGCUAGCGUUGUUCGGAUUUACUGGGCGUAAAGCGCACGUAGGCGGAUCGUUAAGUCGGGGGUGAAAUCCUGGAGCUCAACUCCAGAACUGCCUUCGAUACUGGCGAUCUUGAGUCCGGAAGAGGUGAGUGGAACUCCUAGUGUAGAGGUGGAAUUCGUAGAUAUUAGGAAGAACACCAGUGGCGAAAGGCGGCUCAGCUGGUCCGGUACUGACGCUGAGGUGCGAAAGCGUGGGGAGCAAACAGG